GUGUUCCUAAUUUUGAAAACUUUGUAAAAUAUGAUUUAAUAUCAGUUAAACUUUGCUUUCACGAUUUUCAGUAAAAUCAUGUUUUGGCUUUUUAAAUUUUUCUUUCAUUUGGCGACUUUAAGAACCACAAGCAGAUGGAACAUUAAGCAGGACAAAGCUUGCAGCAUUAGCGUGACAUUAUCUGACUGCAGCCAAGAAGCUGCAAGAAACGACAGAAACGCGUGUUAACAUCGAGGGAAACGUAGAAUCUUUCUAUGCUCCGCUAUAGAGUAUUUUUUCUCACAAUUAUUUUGGCAUUUCGAGCGGCAAGCUCUGGCAAAUCUGUGCACGUAGGCUGAAGUGUAUUUGAUAUAAAAAUAUAUGCAAAAAAAAAAAGGAAAAACAACAAUUAAAAGGAAAGAAAAACCCCUGCAGCUACGAAUGUACCAUAAAAUGAUUUAACAGCCUGCAGAACUGGGAACUUUCCUUUUCGGAGGCGAUGCGAGGCGCCUUAGCAAAGAGGAAAUAUUGUUGGAAAAAUAAAAAUUACUUCAAUUAAGCGUGGAAAUAAAAAUCAACAAAUGGUGCUAGGCAUGAAACACAACUACGGAAAGCAGAAAAUGUGAACUAAAUAAACGCAAAAUUGAUGAGAAAAUUCAAUUUGGCUCCCAGGGUCAUAAGCGGCCAUUAAAUUUUUUAAACCGAAAUUUUAGGCAAAUUUUAAGCGUAAUCACAGUUUAAUAUAUGUAAUGGAGGGAAAAGUAAAGAAAAUGAAUUCCCUCAGCAGUUGAGCUACAUUAAGUCAACUCAUUAUGAAAUUACGACUGCUGCUGCUUGCAAAGAAAAAAGCCGUAAAGAAAAUAAGUAGAAAAUCGCAAUGGCGAUGACGGGAAGCACGAAAAGCCGACAAAGAAAACAAAUUAAAUUUAAUCGAUUUGUGAAAAGCUGCCAGCCAACACAACGUCAUCAACAACGAAAAACUACUGCAGAAAUAGUACAACUAAAACUAGAAGUUUGCCAAGGCGCAUAGAAAAUUAAGUGAAGUGCGCUUCAACGAGAACCAAACGGGAACCAACCAAGGACCAACGACCAAUGGCCAACACCAGAAAAAGCUACUUGGCGUGAAAAUCUUCCGCCUUCUCACACAUUCCCUCCCUCUCUCUAUCUCUCACUCUCUCUAAGCGCAUUCUAAACAAAUUAAAAUUCAAUUAAAAAGAUGAAAUGCCAUUUCAGUGCUUUAUAACUAAGAACGUAGACCAGAGAUUGGCAGCAAAGCCCAGCUGGCUGCCAACGUUCCUGCAAUGCUGUUCGCAUUCUUGGUGCUUAACACUGUUCAGCCAAGCUUUAUAAACGGGCUAAGCAGAUAAAAACCACUUAAGAAAAAUUUUAAAUAUAUUCUUAUGGUAAACGGUUCAGCACUC